CGUGCCAGCAGCCGCGGUAAUACGUAGGGAGCGAGCGUUGUCCGGAAUUACUGGGCGUAAAGGGCGCGUAGGCGGCGCUUCAAGUCGUCUGUCAAAAGCCGAGGCUCAACCUCGGUGCGCAGACGAAACUGGAGAGCUUGAGAAGCAGAGAGGCAAACAGAAUUCCUGGUGUAGCGGUGAAAUGCGUAGAUAUCAGGAAGAAUACCAGUGGCGAAGGCGGUUUGCUGGCUGCAUACUGACGCUGAAGCGCGAAAGCCAGGGGAGCAAACGGGAUUAGAUACCCCGGUAGUCCUGGCAGUAAACGAUGUAUGCUGGGUGUGAGACUAGCGAUAGUUUCGUGCCGAAGUUAACGCGAUAAGCAUACCGCCUGGGGAGUACGGUCGCAAGAUUGAAACUCAAAGGAAUUGACGGGGGCCCGCACAAGCGGUGGAGCACGUGGUUUAAUUCGAUGCAAACCGAAGAACCUUACCUGGACUUGACAUCCACGCGGUAGAGAAGCGAAAGCGGAUCGACCCUUUCGCAAGGAAGGGAACGUGAACAGGUGCUGCAUGGCUGUCGUCAGCUCGUGUCGUGAGAUGUUGGGUUAAGUCCCGCAACGAGCGCAACCCCUAUUGCCGGUUGCUACCAGAUAAAGCUGAGCACUCCGGCGAGACUGCCAUCGACAAGAUGGAGGAAGGUGGGGACGACGUCAAGUCAUCAUGGCCCAUAUGUCCAGGGCGACACACAUGCUACAAUGGAUGGUACAGAGAGAAGCGAGCCCGAAAGGAGAAGCAGAUCCCAAAAAGCCAUCCCCAGUUCGGAUUGCAGUCUGCAACUCGACUGCAUGAAGUUGGAAUCGCUAGUAAUCGCGGAUCAGCCAAGCCGCGGUGAAUACGUUCCCGGGCCUUGUACACACCGCCCGUCACACCAUCCGAGUCGGGUGCUCUCAAAGCCGGAGGCCUAACCGCGAGGAAGGAUCCGCCUAAAGAGUGUCCGGUGAGGAGGGUGAAGUCGUAACAAGGUAGCCGUACGGGAACGUGCGGCUG
rnacentral:rRNA from 1 species